AGAGCCAGAGCGCACGCGGGCUCCCGAGACGACCCGAGCCGGUGCCGCAGGUGGGGGAGCGCGGGGAGGGGCUCCACCCGCCGACUCUGGGGUUUCCACGCUCCCCGGCGGCCGGGGAGAGCUACCUCACAGGGACAGUCAGCGCCAUCGGAUUCUGCGUCAGUAGCAGCCAGCGCCAGCGGGGCACCAGGGGACAAGCAGCUCCUUGUGGGGUGCGCUGACUUUUUCUUAGCUCUUCAAAGGCAGAAGUCUUCCCGGCCAAUCCCUAGUUCCGAACAUGCGUCUGGACAAGGAGAGGGGCAGAACAGAAGGAAGGGAGGUGGGGAAUGUUUGUCAUUUAGUCAUGACGCUGGGAGAUGGAUCUCUCUGGAAAACUGGCAGGAGAAGAAAGAAACGAACCUCUGUGCUCAAAGCUCACUGCCUCAUCCGGGUCGGCCUGUGCCCAGGGAGGCUCCUCCUGACCUGGGGCGUGCAGACGGCCUGCUCACCGGCUCAUCACAGGGCUCUGGAUGGGGCUUCUGGGCCCCUCCUUCCACACGUGGGUCAAGCCAAGCCGCCCAGCAAGAAGCAGGCAGAGAGCUGGGACGGCCCCACGGUCCUCAGGGUCUCAUCGUCAUGGGGGUCCCAGACUUCAGGAUUCCCUGCUGAUCAGGGUGGAGCAUAAAGAGCAAGAGGARGGCCCCCAUGGAGGACCUCAUCCAGGCCCCUUCAGGGAUCCUGUGUGGCCACCUGGCUGCCCCUGCCUGGGAAGAACAUGCAAGUUCCUUCCUUCUCCAAGAAUCUCAUGAAGCAAAGUGGCAGAAGGUCCUGCAUCCUUCACCUGACCCCUCCUUCUCCCACCCAGGUGAUGAUGAUACAUGCACUUACACACACACACACACACACACACACACACACACGACAAAAUCCCAAUCCAUUCUGCCAAAGACAUUUUCUGAGUUAAAACCCUGGGUAAUUUAAGAGAUAUGUAUUCAUGUGCUUCAUUUAAACCAUCAAAGUACUUUUAAAAGAGCUACUUGAAAUCUUGGGAGCGUUUUGAACCUUUAAAGUUCUUUCUUUGAAACAUGGGAAUCACACACUGCCAAGGAUAAAGAUAGUCAAAUACCAAAAGGCUAGGAGUGGGUUUGAGACUCUAAAUCUCUGACAUUUCACUUGACAAAACUGAAUUUCGCAUCUUUAACACCCACUUCCAAUUAGACAGCAGGCUGCCUGAAACCUCACACCUCCGCGUGCCCUCGGUGGCCAGCUAGGAAGGACUUCCCGGUCGGAGGCCUCGGAGACCACGCUCAGCCCACGCCGGAGGCAGGGGCGCGCCCCAGCGCUGCAGGGUGCCGGCGACGGCCACCAGGUGGGGCAGGUUGUGCCCUCUCCCGCCUUGGGCACUGYCAAGGAGAGCGCUGGAGUCUGCGAAGGAGCGCGGCCAAAUGUCAAGGCCCGGGCUGGUUUGAAAUGCRGGUGCCCAAGUCCCUGGCCCAGAGUGACGGGCUCCGAGGGCCGCCGGGCGGCGACCGCAACUUCUACCACGCCACACGCCGCGCACCGGSCCAGAGGUGGCGCCCGGGCGCUCGGGGGCCGCGGAGCCGCCUGGCACUGCCCGGGUCGCCCCCGCUCCCGCCCGCCGCCCCAGCCGCAUCUCUGGUCCCUGCGGAGCUGGCCGCUCGGGA
ensembl:lncRNA